rnacentral:rRNA from 1 species
GAUGAACGCUAGCGGCAGGCCUAAUACAUGCAAGUCGAGGGGCAGCGGGAGUAGCAAUACUUGCCGGCGACCGGCGCACGGGUGCGUAACACGUAUGUAAUCUACCCUUUACUGGAGAAUAGCCCGAAGAAAUUCGGAUUAAUGCUCCAUAAUAUCACUGGAAGGCAUCUUUUGGUGAUUAAAAGUUCCGACGGUAAAGGAUGAGCAUGCGCGAUAUUAGCUAGUUGGUGAGGUAACGGCUCACCAAGGCGACGAUAUCUAGGGGUACUGAGAGGUUACACCCCCACACUGGUACUGAGACACGGACCAGAUCCUACGGGAGGCAGCAG